GGAUUGCUCACAGAUGAGGGAGGCUACAUGACUUCAGCAUAAUUCACACGGAUUAAAAGUACAGAGAGAUCUACAUGCCUGCCAGAUGAUGCUUAGGUCUUUGGCAAGGGGUACCCUUCAACAGAUUGCUCUAAAAUGGUGACCUUUAAGGUGUACAUUCUCAGUCUGCCCACAACAUGGCGCUCUGCUGAGUGACACUUGAGCAUAAAUUACCCAGACAGCUCUCUUCCUUGCUAUGAUGGAUUCUACCUCUCCUCUCCAAAUCCCAGGAGUAGAUUUCAUGAUGACAAACCCUCCGUGACAAUCCAAUCACUCACAUUCAUCAGCGAUCAGUCACGGUGAUCAGAGAAAAGACACUGCAAAUUAUGAGGCAUGGGGGGAGGUAGCCCCUGACUGGACAUCAGCCCUUCCAGAGGAGGAGAUUCCACAUGGCGCUUGGUCUUUCCAGUCAACCCUGAGGGCUCACAUCACCGUAACCAUCUCAUUACUCUCUGAGGAAACCCAGGGGGCAGCCCUAUAAAAUACAUUGAAUGCUCCGCUGAGGCAAAUGUGGAAGUAGGUGGACCGAGAAGCUCAAAACCUACUUCAGAGAUUUCCUGGGCUGUGUCUGUCUGGAACUGCCUGAGUGGAUGACUGCCUGGGCGAAUUACUGCCUGGGUGGAUGACUGCUUGGGUGGAUGAUCGCCUGGGCGAAUUAUUGCCUGGGUGGAUGACUGCCUGGGUAGAUGACUGCCUGGGUGGAUGGCUGCUUGGGUAGAUGGCUGCCUGGGUAGAUGGCUGCCUGGGUGGAUGACUGCCUGGGUGGAUGACUGCAUCGGUGGAUGACUGCAUCGGUGGAUGACUGCCUGGGUAGAUGGCUGCCUGGGUGGAUGGCUGCCUGGGUAGAUGGCUGCCUGGGUAGAUGGCUGCCUGGGUAGAUGGCUGCCUGGGUAGAUGGCUGCCUGGGUGGAUGACUGCCUGGGUAGAUGGCUGCCUGGGUAGAUGGCUGCCUGGGUGGAUGACUGCAUCGGUGGAUGACUGCAUCGGUGGAUGACUGCCUGGGUAGAUGGCUGCCUGGGUGGAUGGCUGCCUGGGUAGAUGACUGCCUGGGUAGAUGGCUGCCUGGGUGGAUGACUGCCUGGGUGGAUGACUGCAUCGGUGGAUGACUGCAUCGGUGGAUGACUGCCUAUUUGGAUGGUUGUAGCUGCUGGGAAUAGGUUGCGGAUGGAAUUAACAGAUCUAGAGGAAUGUUGUCCAUCACUCUCCAGGAAGAAUACAUGCGCACAUCCGAUGGGCUUGUCAGGUGUUGGAAUAGAAACACUUGACUGGGUGGAGGGAGAAGGGAGAAAUGGGAUUUGCAGAUGGAUAAGGGGAGAAAAUAAUUGCACUGGCAAGCUGCCACGCAUAGUUUCAGAGAGCUGGUAUUCUACCUGCGGUUUCGCCAAAACAAACCUUUGGUGGGAGGAUCAGUUGAUGCCCAAACAAAUAGACAGUGAGAUUAUUAUGAGCCAUUGAGCGAUUAUUAAAGCCACAAAGAAAACCAGUUUAUCCGGUCUCAGGUCUCGGUAAGAAUGUAUAGUUUAUGGCCUUGAUACUUUAUCCAUGACCUACUAAACUAUCCCAUUACAAUUUAGUUAUGGUUUUAUAAUCACAUCCCAUUGGUUGGAGCUGUAUGUUUUUCCAAUAACUGCUACAAACUGUACAUCUGUAGUGAUGUCAUAGUAAUUCAGCUGAUUUAAUUUUCUGCCUUUUCAAAAGAGUCCCAUUAGUCGUAUCUCCUUACUAUCAGCAGACAUAACAACUUCUCAUCCCUUCCAAUGAAGUUAAAUAACUUUCUGACUCGUCAACUAGCUACGUUCUCAUCCAAUUGGCGACAGAUUUUCAUGCGAAAAUAUUCUGAAAAUAUGUGCAUUUUCCCUACCAGUGGUGUGUUUCCACCAACAUGACUUGUUGCAGAAAAGAAAUCAUGACAUAGUGGAAUAGUGAAAACUACUAUGGAAACUAUGGAAACUAUGGAAACUAUGGAAACUAUGGAAACUAUUGAAACUAUGGAAACUAUGGAAACUAAAACUAUGGAAACUAUGGAAACUAUUGAAACUAUGGAAUAAUAUGGAAUAAUAUGGAUUAUUAUGGAUAAAUAUGGAUUAUUAUGGAUUACUAUGGAUUAUUAAAUAUAACUAUUAAUUAUUUUGGUUAACUAUGGAUUAUUAUGGAUUACUAUAGAAAACUAUGGUUAACUAUGGAUUAUUUUGGAUUACUAUAGAUAACUAUGGUUAACUACGGAUUAUUAUAGAUAACCAUGGAUUUUUAUGGAUAACUAU
ensembl:lncRNA